rnacentral:rRNA from 1 species
AGGGUUUGAUUAUGGCUCAGGAUGAACGCUGGCGGCGUGCUUAACACAUGCAAGUCGAGCGAAGCAGUUAAGAAGAUUCUUUGGAUGAUUCCUGACUGACUGAGCGGCGGACGGGUGAGUAACGCGUGGGUGACCUGCCCCAUACCGGGGGAUAACAGCUGGAAACGGCUGCUAAUACCGCAUAAGCGCACAGAGCUGCAUGGCUCGGUGUGAAAAACUCCGGUGGUAUGGGAUGGGCCCGCGUCUGAUUAGGCAGUUGGCGGGGUAACGGCCCACCAAACCAACGAUCAGUAGCCGGCCUGAGAGGGCGACCGGCCACAUUGGGACUGAGACACGGCCCAA